GACAGGAGUAGAUCCCGAUCCGAAGCUGCAAGGCCCCCCCGCAGUGACCCGGAACUGAUACUCCUUCAGGCAAACUUUAAAGUCAUGAAGGGAAAAAUAUUUACAGUUGCUCAAAAUCUUCAUCCCUUCCCUCCUAUCUUGAACAGUGAGAUAUCAUCGAAGCUUGAGGAAAAUGCAGAUCAUGGAUCAGCUAUGUCUUUGCAGAACAAUCAAACGGUAGCAGUGAUGGAAAUAGAAGUGGUGGAACCAGAGAAGAAAGGCCUGGCAUCUGUCAGCUCUUCAGUCCUUCCAUGUUUGCCCAAGGAGACAUCUUUGGGCAGGCAGUUCCAGGUGCUAUAACAGGGCAAAGCUCAUCAUGGGAAAAGUAGGAUUUGAGUGUGCAGCUCAACCAACCCCUUGUUUCCUUUUCUUCUUUUCUCAUCUCAAGAAAUUCAGCAGGAAAAUCUAUGGCCAAGAAGUUAAACAUAAAAAAUCAAGACCUUCAAAGUAAUAGCUCCCACAGCAACCAUAAGUAGGCCACAAAUUUAUACAUUUAUACAUUAAAGCACAAGUUUAGUAGAUUCAGUACUAAAAAAAAAAUCUUUCAUGCACACAAGAGGACUGAAUUAAUUUUCCUUGGAAACCAGAACUCUGAAUUUCCUGAAUUUUCGAUGAUAAUUUUACAUUAACCUAUUUAAAACAAAUUAUUUUAGUUUUGUAUUGAGUUCAGUUAUUUAUGAUUGGAGUCUCUCUCCAUUUCAGUUUAGUUAUGUGUAGCUUAGGGCAGCUUCACGUUUUGGGGGGAGUAAUAGAUUCGUAUUUUUUUUAAUCCUGUCAGGCAAAACUUUCACAGAAAAUGUCUCAAAAAACUAGGCU